GUUUCGAAUCAUUCACAAUGGGCGAAAGCCUGAUGGUGCGACGCCGCGUGGGGGAUGAAGGUCUUCGGAUUGUAAACCCCUGUCACCAGGGACUAAACUCUGUGCGUUAAUAGCGUACAGACUGAAUUAACCUGGAGAGGAAGCAGUGGCUAACUCCGUGCCAGCAGCCGCGGUAAUACGGAGACUGCGAGCGUUACUCGGAUUUACUGGGCGUAAAGGGUGCGUAGGCGGCCGGGUAUGUCGGGUGUGAAAUCUCGGGGCUCAACCCCGAAACUGCGCCCGAAACUGCCCGGCUAGAGUCUCGGAGAGGGUAGCGGAAUUCCCGGUGUAGCGGUGAAAUGCAUAGAUAUCGGGAGGAACACCAACGGCGAAGGCAGCUACCUGGACGAGUACUGACGCUGAGGCACGAAAGCGUGGGGAGCGAAAGGG
rnacentral:rRNA from 1 species